UCCAAGUAUCAAGCCUGGCUUGUUGUUGGACCCUUUGUCACCUGGUGACAGGCCCAAAAGAUAAUGACCGGUGUCAUCAAGACUCUAUAUGCAACGAGCUUAUCAUAGCACGCAUCUGGUAGUCAAAUGGCCCGGUUCUUGUACCUCCAUUUCUCAA
rnacentral:misc_RNA from 1 species